rnacentral:rRNA from 1 species
CGGUAAUUCCAGCUCCAAUAGCGUAUACUAAAGUUGUUGCAGUUAAAAAGCUCGUAGUUGGAUUUCUGCGGGGACGGAGCGGCCGGACGCAACUUGCGUCUCGAGCUAGCGCUUUCCCCGCAUCCUGCCGCGAACCGUGCUACCAUUAGUUUGGUGGCGCUGGGGAUCGGCUCGAUUACUUUGAGAAAAAUAGAGUGUUCAAAGCAGGCCACACGCCUUGAAUAAGUUAGCAUGGAAUAAUGACUAAGGACUUUGGUUCUUUUCGUUGGUGUUCGGGACUGAAGUAAUGAUUGAUAGGGACAGUUGGGGCGGUCCGUAUUCCAAAGCGAGAGGUGAAAUUCUUAGACCUUCGGAAGACGAACAGCUGCGAAAGCGUUCCGCAAGGAUGUUCCCUUUGAUCAAGAACGAAAGUUGGGGGAUCGAAGACGAUCAGAUACCGUCGUAGUCUCAACUAUAAACUAUACCAGCUAGGGAUCGGCCAACGUUUAAUUAUUCGACUUGGUCGGCACCUUAUGAGAAAUCAAAGCAUCUGGGUUCCGGAGGGAGUAUGGUCGCAAGGCUGAAACUUAAAGGAAUUGACGGAAGGGCACCACCAGGCGUGGAGCCUGUGGCUUAAUUUGACUCAACACGGGAAAACUUACCAGGUCCAGACAUAGGAAGGAUUGACAGAUUGAUAGCUCUUUCUUGAUUCUGUGGGUGGUGGUGCAUGGCCGUUUUUAGUCGGUGAAGUGAUUUGUCUGCUUAAUUGCGUUAACGGACGAGACCCCAGCCUGCUAAAUAGCGCGGCCGAGCUUUGCUCGGUACGAGCUUCUUAGAGGGACCAUGAUGCGCGAUAGCACAAGGAAGUUUGGGGCAACAACAGGUCUGUGAUGCCCUUAGAUGUUCUGGGCCGCACACGGGCUACACUGGCGCCUGCAACGAGCAUAUCAGCUGGCCCGAGAGGGUCUUGGCUAAUCUUUGGAACCGGGCGCNCGUGCUUGGGAUUGACCAUUGCAAUUGUUGGUCAUGCAACGAGGAAUGCCUUGUAAACGCGAGUCAUCAGCUCGCAUUGAAUACGUCCCUGCCCCUUGUACACACCGCCC